AAAAAAAAAGAGUUUGGCUUCUGGAAACCAGAUGAUGAGCAUUCUCAUUGUGGGGCUGCCUCUUAUUAACUAUGAACACUGAAAAAGACACCUCACCUCUCUGUGUCUUCAUCUGUAAAACAAGAAUAAUAAUAUCAUCUACUUCAUACCAUUGCUGAAAAGACUAAAAAAUGUUAAUGUAAAAAAAUACUUACUACAAUGCUUAACACAAAAUAACUUUGUAAUAAAUGUCACUAUACUCAUUAUUUUAUUAUCCAUUUUUAUAUGAAACAAAUCUAAGAAAGUGGCUGUCCCAGACUUUCAUAACAUAAUAACUGAAUUGUCAACUGUCUUCUCUCCUUUAGUUUCUAGUCUCACUAAGACAAUUUCUGAUUUUGCUUCCUGUGUAGCUCAGCCUACAGAAAAUAAAUUCACAUUCACACUGAAAUGGACAUUCCAGCUCCUGUGGCACAGAUUUUCUAUGAAAAAUGAACACACUUAGAUUAUGGUUUGGGCAUGAAGAAUUGAGUCAGCAUCAUUUUCUCUUCUGAGAUAAAACAAUUCUAGGCGUGAAGACAAGACUGGAUUCCUGAAUCAAAUUCCCCUGAAAACGAUGAUUCAUUAAGUAUCCUUUUAGGAAGAGGAAUCACACAGAGGAGCACGCCAUGUAUAAACCCAGACCCAUAGAGAGAAGACAACCACAGACAAUGGAGGCAGAGACUAGAGUGAUGCAGCAGUAAACCAGGAACACCAAGUAUUGCCACCCAACACUGGAGGGAGAAGAUGGAAGAAAGGAUUCUCAUCUUUAGGUUUCAAAGGAAUCAUAGCCCUGCUGACACCCUGAUAUCUGCCCUCCAGAACUACGAGGCAAUAAAUUUCUGUUGUUUCAAUUCA